rnacentral:lncRNA from 1 species
UUGCUGGUAUCACUGGUACAUGUGCUUGCUGCUCCCUCCUGGGCCAUAUCAGUGGAGCUUGGAUCAGCCUUAGCUGGAAAAUUCCUUUUCUUGUGUCGAAGACUAGGAAGACAAAUAAUCCCCCCUAGAAUUAUUUGUUCCAUGCAUUUAUCCGCUCUAUUCCCCGCUUACUUAUGUCUAGUAUCUAGUCGAAUUUCAUUCUAUUAGAAUAGAAAACACUAUUGAUGCAUUUUAUGGUAAUUAGUUAGUGGGGAAAAACCGGGCCGGGAUUCAAAAGAAUUAGGCGAAGUGUUUGUUCCUGAACGACGGAAGUGGAAAGACA